CUAAGCUCUGUCCGUCUAUGCCAUAGAUCACUAGAGAGAGAAAGGGCUGAGGACGCAGAAGAAGAUGGUUCAGAUUGGUGCUUUUACUCCGAUCAGUCCCAUGGAUUCUUCUUCUUCUUCUUCUAGUUACCGAAGAUGUAAUCUUCUCCCUCCACCCCACCCUUCAUCGUGUUCCUUUCCUACUGAAACUGCAAAUCUGUUUCGUUCUCACUCUCACACUAGAAGAAACCCUAGUUCUUAUCCUUCUUCAACCAUCACCAGUCCACCAAAACACCAACCCAAGUCGAGAAAACAGCUACCCAAGUCGAGAAAACAGCUUGAUAAUCUCCGAGCAGCUGAAUUGUUCCUCACUCUGAUGCCCCGAACGCGACCUCUGCCAAGCAUUCUUGAAAUCAACAAGGCGUUGGGGAUUAUUACGAAAUCGGGUAAGUACAGCACGGCUCUUUCUCAUUUCAACAAGUUGCAGUCACAAGACAUUGUGCUAGAUUUGAAUACCUUCGGCAUUGCUAUUAACUGCUACUGUCACGUCAAUCGAGUUGGCUAUGGGUUCUCGCUUUUAGGCAGCAUCUUCAAACACGGUUAUGAGCCUGAUGAAGUUAUCUUCCCCCCGCUGUUAAAUGGACUUAUUGCACAAGAUAAAACUGCUGAGGCUAACGGACUUAUCGCACAAGAUAAAACUGCUGAGGCUCUUUCUCAUUUUGACAAGUUGCGGUUGCUAGGCAUUCUGCCAAAUGUGUAUACCUUCAACAUUGCAAUUAACUGUUAUUGUCGCGUGAAUCGAGUUGGCUUUGGGUUCUCUCUUUUAGGCUGUAUCUUUAAAUGCGGUUAUAAGCCCAAUGUAGUUACCUUCACCACCCUGUUAGAUGGACUUAUUGUACAUGAUAAACCUGCUGAGGCUCUUUCCCAUUUUGACAGGUUGCAAUUGCUGGGCAUUCAGUUAAGUUUGUAUACCUUGAACAUUGCAAUUAAGUGCUACUGCUGUGUGAAUCGAGUUGGCUUUGGGUUCUCUCUUUUUGGCAGCAUCCUCAAACACGGUUAUACACCUGAUGUAGUUACCUUCAACAGUCUGUUAAAUGGACUUAUUGCCCAAGGUAAAAUUGCUGAGGCUGUGGAGUUAUUUGAGAAAAUUGUCAAAAAAGGUGAAAUCAAACCCAACGUGACGAUGUAUGGAUCGCUAAUAAACAGGCUUUGCAAAAUGGGAAACAGAGGAGCGGCUAUUAGUUUUUUGAGGAUAGCGGAAGAAGGAGGUUUAAAACCUGACACCAAGACUUAUAGCAUGAUCAUUGACCGUCUUUGCAAGGAUGGGAUGGUGGAUGACGCUGUCAACUUGUUUGUAGAAAUGAAUAGCAAAUGUUUUUGUGCAGAUGUAGUCACUUAUACAUCUAUGAUUGAUGGCCUAUGCAAACAUGGCAAGACGAAGGAAGCAAUAGGAAUACUACGAGAAAUGUUGGAUAAUGCUAUUUCACCAAAUGUUCGUACGUUUAAUGUUUUGGUCUCUGCUCUUUGCAAGCAAGGGAUGACAAAGGAAGCGGAGGAGUUACUUGAAUUAAUGGAAAAAAGAGGUGUGGAUCCUGAUGUUUUCACAUACACUAGUCUCAUGGAGAGAUAUUGUUUGCAAGGCCGGAUGGACGAAGCAAUGAGAUUGUUAAAUGCCAUGGUGGAAAGGGGCAUUCAUCCCAACACUUGUUGCUAUAACAUUUUAAUCAAGGGAUAUUGCAAGAACAGGAAAUUAGGCAAAGCCUUGCAUCUCUUCCGAGAAAUGCCUCUACUCGGUCUAAAACGUGACUUCAUUACUUUUACAACUAUAUUUCUUGGUCUGGUUCAAAUAGAUACAUAUGCUGCCGCCCAAGAAAUUCUUAAUGAGAUGCAAGCUGCCGACCUACAUCCCGAUACUAAAACUUGUGGUCUCCUGUUCGACAGCCUUUGCCAAAGUGGGCAUAUUGAUGAAGCAAUGUUCUUAUUUCACAUGAUGGAGAAAAAGGGUUUAGGUCUCGAUAUUGUUAAGUACAAUGUCCUUGUUGAUGCCUAUUGCAAGAAGAAAACACUAGAAUGAAUCAAGGUCUUUUGAGGAACCCAAGCUUCAGGAAGCUGCCUGCAGAAUGAUGUCUCUUACACGAUAUCGUUCUGGGAUUUCAUUGAGGUUUGAAGUCAUUUGAGGCCAAGAGGCAUCAACAGGGAUAUCCAUAUUCCAAAUAGUUUGAAAUUCCCCCAUGGAACAAUGCUGUCGGACAACUUGUCAUGGAAUGUUCAACAUAUUGAUCUGAUGUUCAAAUGGCUGCUUCUACUUUUUUGGUUAGAGUGAUACGACAUCCCACUGCUUCGAUUUUGUGUAAGAGACCAUUGUUACUGACCGUCUCAUCCACGUAUCUCAGUUUUAUUCGGGGGGAAGCAAGUACAAAAAUGAAGGGUGAAUGGCGGCGUACAAAUUGGUCAGAUUCGAACCAACGAAUUGAGGUUUUGCGGACCCCUGCCUUGGCUACUUGGUUGCGGUUACCUAUCAAUUCCAUGUCUUUCCCCUUCUCUGACUUCACUUUUUAGGGUGCAACCCGGAAUAACAGAUGCUGGAAUGCUUUGGGAGGAAGCACAACAUAGGGGACAUAGAUUUUGAUAAAUACUUUCUAAAACUUGAGAAUCUAAGAGUUCUCCCUACCUAAACCCUUUCCGGGGUGACAAUAUAAAGAUGCGUCUAGGGAUUUGUUGAUGCUCCACGACCCAGAAAGUAGCAUCUGUCAACGGAUUCAGCGGCCAUUAGUAUGAAAAAUGCAGGUUCUAGCCAUCAAAUUGGAAAACUAUGCCAGGUUAUGAUCUUAUUCUGUAGUGCUUGAUGGAGAUUCUUUUCUUGGAAUCUCUGAAUUUUUUGUCAGGAUCUUCUGUAGUAGAUGAACUGUUUUCUAGGGUGGCAUAAAUUGGUUGUUUUCAUCUUGUUGAUUAGUUCUUGGCUGUGUAGAUUUUUUUUUCGUUUCUUUUGCUUUGGUGACUCCUGGCUUUAUGCCGUGGGGAGUUUGCUGAGAUAGCUUUGUUGGCUGUGCUGUUUGGACUUUGCUGUAUUUGUUUGGAGCUUUUAAUGAUAAGAGUACAUUUACCGGAAAA